AUUCUCCCACCUCAGCUUCCCGAGUAGCUGGGACUACAGGCGCCGCCACCAUGCCUGGCUAAUUUUUUGUAUUUUUAGUAGAGAUGGGGUUUCACUGUGUUAGGCAGGCUGGUCUCGAUCUCCUGACCUCGUGAUCCGCCCGCCUCGGCCUCCCAAAGUCCUUUCAGUUUUUUUUCCCCCCUUUCAAAAGCAUAUGGAAGGCAGUUCAGGGAAAGCUAAGGCAUAAAAAAUCUUAUGAGCAUGUUAAGAGCCUGGAGAGAAGGGGUGGACACCUUUUGUUUGUCACGGCAUAUGUGCGGAUGGUGAAGGGGAGGUAAAUUAGAGCCAUGGAAAGGGAACUAAGUUUACACACUUCUAUUAAUCCAUUUUUUUAAAUUCCAGUCUAUUAUCCUCCCAGUCCACAAUGCUGAACCAUGGCUGGAUGAAUGUUUGAGGUCUGUUUUGCAGCAGGACUUUGAAGGCACGAUGGAGCUGUCUGUUUUCAAUGAUGCCAGUAAGGACAAGUCUGGGGCUAUCAUUGAAAAAUGGAGAGUGAAAUUGGAAGAUUCUGGUGUCCACGUGAUCGUUGGGGGGCACGAUUCUCCCUCUCCCCGAGGCGUCGGAUACUCUAAAAAUCAAGCAGUUGCCCAGAGCUCAGGGUCUUACCUUUGCUUUUUGGAUUCGG